ensembl:ncRNA ZK1025.11 ncRNA
AGCUUAAGCCUAAGUCUAAGCCUUAUCCCAAGCAUAAGCCUAAGCCCAAGCCUAAACCUAAGCCUCAGCCUAAGCCUAAGCCUAAGCAU